rnacentral:tRNA from 1 species
GCGCCGGUAGCUCAGACGGAUAGAGCACCUUUUUCACGAAUUGGCGGGCACGGGUUCGAGUCCCGUCCGGCGCA